ensembl:lncRNA
GCAUGUCCGGCAGAGACGCACUGAAGACAGAUGAAGGUCUGAUGAUGAUGCAGGAGCUGGAGGACCGACUCAAGGAACACACUGAUAAACUGGAGCAUGUGCGUCUAUCUGCAAUGGACCUGAGAGAUGCUCUAUCAGGGAAUAAUGACGAUAUGCAGCAGUGUAUCUCUGAACACAUGGAGUGGCUCGCACAGAUGACCGAUCGCGUGGAGACGCUACAGAUGAACACCACUGUCUUUGUGCAGAUGAAUGCCAAGCCACGCAGCUUUCGGGUCAAACAGCAGGGGCUCAGAAGCACUGGCCGCUGGGGCCGCUCUCAUGUGACCGAUGACGCCCAAUCAGAGUAUGGCUGGUCUCCCGUCCGCACCAGACGCAACAGUGAUGCUGCGUCUGAGAUGUCAUGUGCGUGGUAGAAACGCUUCGCUACACUCACAUUAAGAUUGUGUGAUUGUUGCUCUUCAUUUACUGUCAGAGUAACAUUUCCUUGUCCAAAAGUCACCACUGUAAAGGUAGCCUGCUGUUUUUGUAUUUCAUACAGUUUACAGUGUAAUUAAAAAGUGUUUGUUGUUCCAAACCUGAGUGACUCUUUCUUCUUUAUAAGAUAAAAUAAGAGAGUGAGGAGCAGUCAGUGUUGGGGGUAACGCAUUACAAGUAACGCAAGUUACGUCAGAUUACUUUUCCAAAAUAAGUAGCUAGUAAAUUAAUGCAUUAUUUUUUUAAUUUGCAAGAAAAUAUCCAAGUUUCUUUUUCAAAUAAGUAAUGAAUAAGUGAUUAAUGGAAUUUUUGACCCAUUUUAAAUAAUUUCAUUUUGCCAUUUCUUUCCCUACAAGUAAACACAAAGAUGUGCAUAACAUUUGUUUAACUUAUUUUCUUAAUAAAAAAAGAAAAAGAGAGAGGUCA